AGUUUCAGUGCGUUUAGAGGUUUAUUUGAGAGGAAUGGCUAUUUUGGGAGAUUAGAGGCUACCGGGAGGAGAUCCUUCGGUUGGUUCUAACAAAGCUUCCGAAUUGGGCUAGGAGUUAUCGCGGAGACUUGGGGUGAGCUGCUCUAUAUAGAUCUACUUCGCAGUUCCCGAGUCCCUAUUCUUUUAUGCAUCUCUGUCUAUUGUAUUUCAGACAGUUUGACAUGUAUACAUACGUGAUCUCAUGUACGUAGUUUGCUCAUAUACUUGUGCCACCUAGUCUUGGGGCGUAUUGUAUUGGCCGUGUUUAGGCCUUGCUUAUGAUUUUAUCAGAUAUUAUCAUUAUUUGAGACUAUUUCCAUAUUUUAUUGCUA